rnacentral:rRNA from 1 species
CCUACGGGGUGCAGCAGUGGGGAAUAUUGGACAAUGGGCGAAAGCCUGAUCCAGCCAUGCCGCGUGUGUGAAGAAGGCCUUCGGGUUGUAAAGCACUUUCAGUGGGGAAGAAAGCCUUGGGGCUAAUACCCUCGAGGAAGGACAUCACCCACAGAAGAAGCACCGGCUAACUCCGUGCCAGCAGCCGCGGUAAUACGGAGGGUACGAGCGUUAAUCGGAAUUACUGGGCGUAAAGCGCGCGUAGGCGGUCUGAUAAGCCGGUUGUGAAAGCCCCGGGCUCAACCUGGGAACGGCAUCCGGAACUGUCAGGCUAGAGUGCAGGAGAGGAAGGUAGAAUUCCCGGUGUAGCGGUGAAAUGCGUAGAGAUCGGGAGGAAUACCAGUGGCGAAGGCGGCCUUCUGGACUGACACUGACGCUGAGGUGCGAAAGCGUGGGUAGCAAACAGGAUUAGAUACCCUUGUAGUC